rnacentral:rRNA from 1 species
CCCUUAGAUGUUCUGGGCCGCACGCGUGCUACACUGGGUGGAUCAGCGGGUCAGGUUGCGCGAAAGUGUUUCCUAAUCUUGAAAUCCGCUCGUGAUGGGGAUUGACGGUUGCAAUUUUCUGUCAUGAACGAGGAAUACCUUGUAAGCGCGGGUCAUCAUCCCGCGCUGAAUACGUCCCUGCCCUUUGUACACACCGCCCGUCGCUCCUACCGAUUGAGUGGUCCGGUGAGGCUUUGGGAUCUGGAUGGAAAGAGCGUUUCGCUGUUUCUGCCCGGAAAACUCAGUCGAACCUUAUCAUUUAGAGGAAGGAGAAGUCGUAACA